AUUUGUGAAGAUUAUCAGUUCUAAAAUUGUUACUAUAAAUUAAUAUCAUUCCUGAUUGGCAGCUGAAUCUGUCCAUCGAUGAGGUGGAAUGUUUUCGUGAAGUUUCGACAAAUCUCAUUUCCUGAAUGACUAGACUAGAAAACCAGAUUGGAAAAGUGCUUUUACUUAUUGGAAGGCCGGGUUCUUCAUCUAAUUGAUCAAUGUCUUACAUUCUUAUUAAUUUUGUUUUUAAAUCAGCUCUUGAUAGUUGAAAUGAUGAUUGCCUCUUUUGCCUCUUUUAUCCAGAAGAGCAUUAUUCAAAUCGAUAUGUUCAAUCAGAAAACAUCAUUUUAAAUCUAAUAUGGAUAUUCGCGAUGUGCUUGAUUUUAGAAAAAAAUAAUAGAGCUCAUGGUUUGAUACGCUGAAUGAGGAGGUAUACUCGGUUCAUUAUUCCGAUGAAGAUCAAUUGAUUUCCAUGGUAAUAAAAUCAAUGAGUUCCGAUUGGUCGGAUAUCAAAAUAGCUAUUAAAAUGGGAAUUUUUUAUUCAGAUUUCUCGAUCAUUUCCCUAGUGCUCCAUUCGAGAGCUCAAAGUUUGGACUGUUCUUGAGCAGAAUUCACUCAUCUCCAGUGAUACCGGAACAUCCCUCAUCAUUUGUUGAUAUACCAGCUGCCCUGCAGAGACAAAAUGGUUUCGAGUGGACUGCGCGAUUGCUUUGGACUGCAAAGAGCACUCAUUUUUAUCAGCCUGAUGGUGAUCUUUACUCAGGUUCACUCCAUUGUUGGACUGAGUCUGCCUGAAUCAACCGAUGCACCCAAUGACUUGAUGAGUGAUGUCAACCAAUCACCAGACGAUUCUCUCUUGACUCGAGAAAAAAGAAGCUUCCUUCACGGCUUUGGACUUCAUAGACUCUUAGAGCUACUUGGUUUCGGCUUGCUAACUGCACUCAUAUUAAAACCCUUAGCUUUAGUCCUAAUUCCUGUUGUAGUAGUUUUCCUCUUGGUUAAAGCUGGCAUUAUCUUACUACCCGCUUUAGCAAUUCCAAAGCUCGCUCCAACAUUAGCACCAGUAAUUUCAAAAGUAAUUGCCAAAAUAGUAAGUGUUUUGGUAAAUAUAUGGAUGGACAUUUUGACUUUUGGCCAUAAAUUAUUUUCUGGAGAUCUUUUCUAGUUUAAUGGAGCAAAUUAGUCUGGAUAUGUAACUUAUGUAUUAUAUUCAUCAAAUUGUACAGCAAAUUAGCAGGAAAUGAUUUUUAUAAACUUUAAUGAAGAAUUAUUGACAUGUUAUGUAUUGUGAAUUCCUAAGAUGGUAGUAAGAGUUUUGGAAAAAUUCGACCUUGAAGAUUGUGUAAGUGGGUAAUAAAACUUUAUCACUCAAAA